rnacentral:lncRNA from 1 species
AUGGCAUGGGUUUCAUCCCUAGUCGGGGAACUAGAACCCCGAGAGCCGCGCGGAGCGGCCAUUAAAAAAAAAAAAAUCAACUCAAGAGAGCCAGGCCGCAGGGCUGGAGGAGGCGGGCGUCUAGCCGGCUGUUUAAGGCAGCGGGAAAGUGGAGGACACUGCGAACGAGCGACCCUAAGCCCAGAAGGCGUCCACACCGGCGCGGAGCCCGCCCUCGGAAUCCGCGACUCACAAGGCCUCGGCCGCCCCGCUUCCAAACUCCCCGCCCGGGGGCCACUUACCUGCUCUUCGUCCAGCUGCUCCGGGCCGGCCGGGGUCUCCGGACUCGAAGCUGAAGUCUCGGUUGAGGCUGACNNNNNNNNNNNNNNNNNNNNNNNNNNNGUCGCCUUCACCGCGUGGAGACUCGCGUGCCGACCCGGGAGCUCGCUCUCCGUGCGCACGCGCGGACUCAGGCCCGUAGCCGGAAACUGGGAGGCGGGAACCGGACGCUCGCGUCACUUCCGGGAGCGCGGGGUCCGGCGCUUCGGCGUCGCGGCGUCAGGGAUUGGCGGGCUCGAGCAAACUGAGGCACAGGCCCUUCCCCGCCUGAAGGUUUCGUGCACGGGAAACACCGUGCGAGUCGUUAAGCGGUGUGGGGCCCGAACGGUGAGCCGAGGCCGGUCUCCUGAGCUUCGAGUUUCACAGAGGCGGGAGGUAAGAGCAAGAGCAGGUAACGGUGCAGACUGCAGAACGGGAGAAGGCCCCUCUUCCUCCCCGCGGCCCCACAGGAGACCACUGGCUACCUGUUUCUCCUGGAGCUUUCCAGGGAUGGUCUACGUAUGUUUGCUGCUGCUAAAUCACUUCAGUUGUGUCCGACGCUGCGACCCCAUAGACGGCAGCCCAACAGCCUCCCCCAUCCCUGGGAUUCUCCAGGCAAGAACACUGAAGUGGGUUGCCANNNNNNNNNNNNNNNNNNNNNNNNNAAGUCGCUCAGCCGUGUCCGACUCUUCGCGACCCCAUGGACUGCAGCCUAUGAGGCUCCUCCGUCCAAGAGAUUUUCCAGGCCAGAGUACUGGAGUGGGUUGCCAUUGCCUUCUCCGUCUACGUGUGUUUAGGAAAUACUUACACUUUUUUCUCUUUAUGGAUGGUUGGGCUUCAGUUUAG